ACCCUGUCAGGAUCACACCUGGAGAGUUUCCUGUCCUCUACCAGUCUCGGCUAUGGGAGGGAGAGUGAAGCGGAGGCCUACCCAUUCCAUUCCUGGCUUGGCCAGUGGCUAGUGAGUGGCAGGCAAUCUGCUACAGGU